rnacentral:lncRNA from 1 species
GCUACUAAAAUUUUUAUCAUUCAUAUACCUCCAAGAACAGAUUAAACCAUUCAUUCUCAUAUCUAUAUAUGUCACCAGACAAAGAUGAUAACCAGGACUUCAACAUUUUCUUACUCCAAUGCAAUAGUUAUGUCGCUUAUAAGCAUAUAUAAAACUAGGACACAAUAGAUGUGCUAGAGAAAACACAUCAAUACAAAAGCCACCAUCAGAUCAGCAGGCCAGAUGAACUACCAAAUGCCUCAGUACCCUCCACUUUUCACUUAUAUAUAGACAUAGUCGAGCUGAGCUAUGAGAUUACCCACAAAGCCAGCCAUCCACUAGGAACUAAGUUAACUAAAUGCAAGCCAACAUGCACAUCCCAGAAAUAAGUACUCACAUCAUCCACCUACUCAAAUCCUACUAUUAGAACGACCUCCUCUACACCAGAGAACGAGCAUCGCCAGCUUCUGAGGCGCUGUCCCCUGAGCUCCCUGACCCUGAACCUUUAAACAGAGUCAAAUGGGAAACAUUGCAGGAAGUUUAAUUUUUUUUUCAAAAAGGGGGGACUCCCCGGCCUCUGUAUCAGAACGAUGCAUACUGCCAACUUUAUUAAAAAGCAAAUAGGUCCAACAAAGGUCUUAAAGUCAUAAUGAAAAUAAAGAAAAGCUCACAUAGAGCAUAUAAAAAAAGUAACCAUAGCGCCACAACCGGCCGGCAUAAACAAGAUAAGGAAACUAAUUUCCUAUCUUAUUACAUGACCGCCAUCCAAACAGGUUGAAAAUAUCCCGUGCUACCAUCUUUCACCGGAUAGAUCCAGUAACCAAACGCUCCCUGGCCUCCGUCGAAGUGAGUAGCGACCACGUACGGAUCAAUGCAGUGGCUCGGAAGAUAACCUGCAAAAAAUGAAAAUUUGUUGUUCUAUUAAAAAACCAAGUCAUUUUUGCAGUUCCAGACUGCCCACAAUAAAGCACAUACUCCUACGCGAAUGUGUCUCGCUGUUUCGGCCUCUAUCCCGUUAAGCCACGUUCCAAAUAACGUGCUGACAGAAUUCGGAGGAGUAAUAUUAAAGGCUAUGUGCACUGCCCGCCAUAGCACUUUUGCCAGCGGGCAGUCAAGAAAAAGGUGUUUGAUAGUUUCAUUCCGAUCACAAAAACUACACCUAGUAGGUCAUGUCCAGUUACGCUUUGCCAGAUUGUCUUUGGUUAAGAUGACUUGUUUAUGUACAAACCACAUAAAGACUUUAAUUUUCAAAGGAAUUUUGACUUUCCAAACAUGUUUGGAACUAGGAAUGGAGCUAGAGUUGAUAACAUCGAGAUACAUCGAUUUAACUGUAAAUUCCCCAUUCCUGGUAAGCUUCCGGCGCAACUGAUCGGGUUGUUGAGACAGCUAGACCUCUAUCAGUCUACGCACUAAAUGGAGCCAAACUUCCCAACGAUUACUGGCUAGCGUUCUCCUGAAUUGAAUAUUGAGGGGGAUGGACUGACAUACUGUUGCAACAGACGCUUCGCGUCGUUGAACAAUACUAUAAAGAGUCAGGUAUUGAAGCGCGAGGGGUGUCUCUCCUAGCCAAGUAUUCUCCCAGAAACGCGUGUUGGUGCCAUUUCCGAUUAUAAACUUUGUCCUAUUGAAAAAGGCUGAUUUGACUCUCAUCAACCCUUUCCAGAAAGGCGAAUCCGUCGGCCUUGCUGUCACUUGGGACAAAGUUUUGGGGUGAAGAUACUUACUACAGAGAAUUUGCGCCCAGGUGGCCUCUGUCUCUACAGAUAACUUAGACAGCCACUUGCUGAGAAGACAUCUGUUUUUGACUUCAAGAUUUUCAAUGCCAAGACCCCCUUGGUUUUUUGGUCUACAAGUAAUAUCUCAUUUGACGAAUCUGUAUUUUCUUUUUAGUUCAUCACUUUGCCAAAAGAAACGGGAUCAAUAGAAGUCCAGCUUUUUUCCAACUCCAACUGGAAUCUCAAAAAAAGACAAAAGAAACAUAGGCAUACUUACAUGAAGAAUAAACGAUGUUUCACAAAAAGGGAAAGAAUAAACACUGAGUUGGACAGUAGUACGACUGGAUGAUGAAGAACCACUGCCUGGACCCGAACCAGCAGAGACACCCGUGGCCGUGGCCUCAGUGCCCUUCUCUGUCUCCACUGAUUGGCAUCUCAUCCUCAGUAUCUACAUACUCAUCCACCUGCUCCGCCGCUAAUACAUCCGUCCCGCUCUCCUGUAAAUAUCAAAACAAAACACAACAAACAUGAGAGCCCAAUUUGCAUAUGCACUAACUGAAAACGGGAACAACACUUGUUGUUUCCUAUCAGCAUUGUCAACGAAUGUAGACACAGCACCAUUCGCAGCCUCAGCGCGGUAGCACCGUCGUAGACCAUGGCAAUGUCCUUCUGCGGUACGGAUCUGGCCGCAGCGCUUCCUCGUAGCUGCCCGGAGCUUCGCCGGUGGCGGGGGCAGGUCCUCCUUCAGCUGGCCCUGCUGAUGCUCCUGAUGCCACGAAUCGACGCGGGAGAGGAGGGCGCAGAACUGGCCGAUCCGGGUCCCUGGAGCGCACUGGAACCGCGGUGGCCAGCCUCGCCGGCCGGAGGACGAGGCAUCCGGCCGACGGCGAGACCAGACAGAAGCUUUCCCAAUUUUAUGUUUUUUUAGGGAACAGAGCCUCUCCCAGAUUUUUAUUUUUUUGAGAAAAAGGAGCCUCUCCCAGAUGUAACAAAUAUACACUGCAAAAUUUAGAAGGAGCUUCAAAUAUCAGGAGCUUUUAUUCACAUGUACACCAAAUUCAGUUGUACAAUAAAAAGCUCCACAAUGUGCUUCAACUAUCCUAUCUUAACUCGAGGAGAAAAUUCAGAAGAAAAAUAAGAAAGCAUGAACAAUACUAAGCUACUUGACUUGAGUUCCUGAUUAUUUGGUCUAGUUGAGUGAAACAAAUUGCACGGACAUUUCUACAAAGCACUGAAUCUUCAUCUACAGAGGCAUGCACAACAACAGAUUUUUUGGUUCUUCUGUCUUCCUUUUGCCAUCAUGCUGAUCAUCUUCUUUUUGGUUCUUCUAUGCUCUGUCAAUGAAUAAGAGAAUAACUUCAGCACAAGCAUAUCCAGAAGAAUAAAGGAUGCAAAUGGACAGAGCACAUAGUUAUGUGCUUGUGUUGCAACCAGCAGAUGAGCCGUCAUGCUCUGAACCUGAAGUUAUUUGCCAAGAUGCAGCUAGCAGGUCAAUGUAGAGAAGUUAGGCCACAACCGGUGGAGCCAAGCUGAGGAGGGUGGCCAUGGAAGGAGAUCAACACACCGGCGCGCGAGAAGCUUGGCCGUAGCCAAGGGGCGCGUGCAGCCCGUGUAGUGUGCCGACGUCGGUGGGAGUGGAGGCGUCCAGGAGCAUCGCUGUGCCCGGCGGGAGGAAGUAGCUGGGGCGGUGCCGCGAGUUGGGCCGCCGGCGGGGAUGGAGUGUGCCGAUCUGGGGUGGUGUGCUUGGCGUCGAGGAGCACGCCAGCGGCGAUGUUGCGAGCAGCAGGGGCGUAGCACACCGGCGGCUGGAAUUUGGGGCCAUCGAGAUGGAAUCAGGAUUUGCGGACAGGGAAGUGGGGGAACGAGACGGGGCUGCUGCUUUGAGAUUCGUGCUGUGUAAAUCGGACGGUAUGAAAAGCGUUCGGGCUGGAAGUCUUCAAGUACCUGACGUCAGGUAGUUAUCAUUUGUCUAAAUGUGUUUGUGCAAUUGUAGUCUUGGUGAUAUGUGCAACGCGAGUGCAUGAGAAAUAAUUUCCGGGACGAGUAAGAAAUGGCAUCUCCGAAAGAAUAAUCUUUUGUUUUUCGCGAGAAUACAUACACACAAAAGAAUAAUGUAAGAAGGGACAUGACCGCACUUCGUUUUGGUUGCUCUGUUUUUCUUCCACCAACGACCGCUUGUGCUUACGUACGCGGAUGAUCACGACAGGGCGAACUCAGAGCUCAAAGCCCUUAUAUAAUCCAACCUUUUCCUCGCAGCUCAAAGCCCAGCACACACAACACACGCGAGACGCGCAAUGGAUUCCCUCGCCUCCUUGAUGGACCUAGCGGCCUUGAUUUCCCAUGCCUGCCGCGACGCGGAGAUGCUGCCGGGCGCACUCAUCUCGUGCGGCGUCGUCGGGGCCGCCGCGGCGCUCUGCCUUAUCAUAUCCAAGGCGCCUGGAGGUAUAUUUCUCCACCAUGGCAGAGCACCCUUCUUCUUGUACUACGGCAUCCUCGUCGCCGUUGUGAUCUUCGGUCUCCUCCAGGCGUCCGCCGGCUUCUGGGUGUCGGGCGACGUGCCGCCGGGAAGACGAUCCUGUGGCUGGGCCUGCUGCCCAUCGUCUUCGUGGUUGCGCUCGGCGGCUUUGCGAUUCUGAGCAUGAAAUAGUUGAUGUACUGAUACCAGCGUCUCGUGUCAUUUGUGUUUUUGUACCGGCUGUUUGAGCUUGGUGUUUCACUUCCGUCCACCUGCACGGUAUGUUUGGGUCAUUACGAGGAUGGGUCUUCUGUUGUGCCUUCCGAUCCGUGUCAAGUUGGUUGUGGCGGAAUCAGAGGGGAACGAAGUUUCUCCCGGUGUUGUAAUGUUUGGGUACCUCUUGUCCUCUUUUAAAGGUUAUGCUCCCACUUCUUCUGUCCGUUAUAAAUGGUGCAUCAUAUAUGUGCCAUUUGAGAGUUUUCUUAUUUUCAUAUACUAUUUAUUUAAAUUGUUUUACCUUUUAAACCGUUCAAACCGUGAACCAUUUUCAUCGUUGUAUUUCUCGCCUCGGAAUAUUUGAAACUAGAUCCCAUAUUAAUAAGUUUUGAUGAACUUCUAUUAUGGAAAAAACUAGAAGAGAAAAUAACCGAGCCGGAAGCACGAUUUCCCCUGCUUUUUUCCCUUGUGCCUCUUCGAAGCAAAUCUGUACCUCUAGCGUAAGAAAAGAAACAUGUUUUCUUCUUUUUUGUGUGCCUCCACGAUAAGCAAAUAUGUGCCUCUCGUGAAAGAAAAGAACAUGGUUUUUUCCAAGAGGGACAGUUAUGCCUCUCGCAAAAGCAAAUAUGUGUUUCUCCUGAAAGAAAAAAUGCGCUUUUUUCUCUUUUCGAGAGGUACCGUUAUGCCUCUGACGGAAGCAAACUGCUUCCACGAGAAGCAAAUUUAUGCCUCUCACGAAAGCAAAUCAUGGGCCUCGUCGGACGAGGCCAUGGCACAACGUUCCCGCCGUGCAAGGCACCGGGCGCGGGAGACGGCCACAGCCCUCGCGGCGGUUGACGUCGGUGAGGAGGAGUCGCAUUCUCCAACGCCCUGUAUGACGCAUCAGUCCGGCCACCGCAACCGCGUCGUGGUGGACGUCUGCGACUCGUCUCAGGAUGGAUCCGUCAUCGAUCUGACGUCCACCGGCAUCGUUUGGGUUUCGGGCUCCGACGAGGAAGAGUAGGGCAUGAAAGACGACAACGCCUUGAGCCCCGUGGGCCAGCUCGUUUCCAUGCUCUACUCUACCUUGCCGGCGACCGGACCAACAUUCUGAGGAGCGCAGCCAGCCGCCGGACAUGGCCACGGCGGAGACGGGCGAGCGGCGAGCGGAACCGGGCAAGCUCCGUUUAGAUUAGGUUUCAUGUUGCAUGUAAUAAUAUGGAUUUGAGGUAUCUAGACGUGGAAUGCAUUUUUUGAGACGUGACCGGUCACUGUCCGCAGACGCAUCCAAUCACGUCCGCGGGUGUUUGAGGGGUCAGAUUUGCCAGGUCCGGCUAUAGAUGCUCUAACCUCUCCAAAAAGAAAUAUCUCCAUUGAACAAUUAAAAAUAAACUCACGCGUCAACCGCAUUUGGCUCCCUGUACUUUCGCAUUGUAUAUUGUUUCUCCUCUGCUCGCCGGCUCUCAACUCUCAACAUCCCUGGCUCCCUGUACUUUCGCAUUGUAUAUUGUUUCCUCCAUUGACCAUCGCUCGAAUAGCUCCCACCGGAUCUGAUGGAGGCCGCGAUUGCAUGGCUGCUGCAAGCCAUCCUUGCAACACUCCUGAUAGAUAAACUCGAUGCGUGGAUUCGACGAGUCGGGCUUGCCGAUGAUGUUGAAAAGCUCAAGUCGGGGAUCAGGGGCAUCAAGAUGGUGGUCUCUGCUGUGAAGGAGAGGGGGAUCAGGAACGAGUCGCUGGAUGAAUCUCUCGCUCUUCUCAAGGAUCUGCUCUACGAUGCCGACGAUGUGGUCGACGAACUCGACUGCUACAGGCUCCAAGAGCAAGUUCAUGGAGGUGGAGGUACGCCUACUGCCCGGCUGUCUGCAGAUCUGCUGGUUUGAUCAUAGCUUGCUUUAGAAAAAAUGAAAUUGAUACUAACUGGUCAAGGACGACCAUGCUUUUCUGGUCCAUUUUUCUUGUGGCACAGUUACAAGGGACGAGCCAGUCGAUGAGAUAUCAAUGGGGGAUGCUGACACACUGAAUAGCAGUGGUGGCACAUUACGGUCCGAGGUAUGGAAACACUUUACGAUCACAGAAAAGGAUAACGGAAAGCUUAACAAAGCAAUAUGUAGACACUGUGACAGUGAGUUUAACUGUGAUACGAAGACCAACGGUACAACAUCUAUGAGAAAACAUUUGGAGAAAGAACAUUCCGUAACUUUUAUGAAAAAAUCUGGAGCACAUCCACCAAACUCUUCAAGGUACCUAAAGAAAAUUGAAUAUAUCGUUUAUAUGCAUCUCCUUGAGUGCACUACCCACCAUUUUUCUUUUCUUACUGCAGCACUGAUGAGCCUAUUGUAAUUGGCAAAUCAUCCAGGAAAAGAAACAAACGUUGGUCCAAUGCAUGGGAUACUUUUGAUGUUAUUAUAGAAGAAGAAAACGGAAAGCCAAUCAAGCAAGAUGUAAAUACUGCCUCACAGAGAUCAAGUGCCGGGCAAACACCGGGACAUCAGGUAUGCUCAACCAUUGUAAGAUUUGUAAGAAGAAACCUGGACCAAAUGACCAGACACCAAACCUAUCAAGGUAGGCAAAGCAUGCAUCGACACAUUUUUAGAAAUCAUGUCUCGCUGGUUCUAAUAGCCAAUUGGCAAUGUUUUUCUUACUGCAGCACGGGUGAUGCUAUUGCAAUUCCGACACCUAUUGUAAUUGGUGAUUCAUCUAGCAGAAAACGAAGGAGAGUAGCUGAGGAGUCACCACAAAUCACUGCAGCUAAUACACACACCAUUUGGGACAAGGAUACAUUAUCCAAUAGGAUACGAGAAAUUAUUAAGCAGUUACAAGACAUCCAGGGGGAAGUGAGCGAGGUUCUCAAGCUACAUGUCUUCUCCUCCAGUUCAGAUCACAACCGGAGUACAACCUUUGAUCAGCACCUAAGGACAUCAAGUCUUGUUCGAGGAGAAGUGUACGGAAGAGUUGCAGAAGAGAACUCCAAAAUAAUAAAGAUGAUAACAGAAGAAAAAUCUGAUGGUGUAGUUGUUUUGCCUAUUGUAGGCAUUGCAGGUGUUGGGAAAACAACACUUGCUCAACUUGUAUACAGUGAUCCAAAUGUGGAACGCCAAUUUGACCAAAGGGUAUAGGUUUGGGUGUCGCACAAAUUUGACGAAGUGAGACUAACAAGGGGGAUGUUAAACUCUAUUUCUGGCGAAAGGCAUGAAGAAAUAAACUGUCUUGCGAAGUUUCAGGAGAUCUUGAAGAGUCAUGCCAACUCAAAGAGACUUUUAAUUAUUUUAGAUGAUGUUUGGGAUGACAUGAACAGUAAUAUCCAAUGGGAUAAAAUGUUGGCUCCUCUGGUAUCAAAUCAUGUGAAGGGUAAUGUGAUUCUAGUCACAACUAGAAAUAUGUCUGUUGCACAACGGUUAGGCACCCUCAAACCGGUCAAGUUAGGUGCUCUGGCAAAUGAUGACUUCUGGUUAUUGUUCAAAUCACGUGCGUUCGGUUAUGAGAACUGUGAGGAGCAUCAAAGUCUAAGUAUCAUCGGUCGGCAAAUAGCUGAGAAGUUAAAGGGCAACCCACUAGCAGCUGUCUCUACAGGAGACCUAUUAAGGAAGAAACUUAACACCGAUUAUUGGAGAAACAUUCUAAAGUAUGAAGACUGGAAAUCCAUGCAGCUCAGAGGAGGAAUUAUGGCUGCUCUGAAGCUUAGCUAUGAUCAACUUCCCUACCAUUUACAGCAAUGUUUCUCAUAUUGCUCCAUAUUCCCCGACAGUUAUCAGUUUCUUGGUGAGGACUUGGUUGGUUUUUGGAUUUCACAGGGAUUUGUAAACUGUAGCAACUCUAGCCAGAGAUUGGAGGAUAUAGGGCAGUGCUAUCUGAUUGAUUUGGUUAACCUGGGCUUCUUUGAAGAAGUUAAAAGAGAAGAACCCUAUCUAGGCAGUCAAGUUCUUUAUGCCAUAUGCGGUCUCAUGCAUGAUUUUGUGGUGAUGGUUUCAAGGACCGACUGUGCAAGUAUAGAUGGUCUGCAGUGCAACAAAAUGCCUCAAACUAUACGACAUUUGUCAAUAGUAACUGGUUCUGCAUAUAACAAAGAUCAGCAUGGGAACAUUCCUCGUGAUGAGAAGUUUGAAGAAAUUCUGAGAAAUGCAAUUACAUCAGUUAGCAGAUUGAGGACAUUGGUGUUACUUGGGCAUUAUGACUCUUCAUUCUUAAGAGUGUUCCAAGAUAAAUUCAAAGAGGCACAUAAUUUACGCCUGCUGCACAUGUCUGCAAGAUCCGCUGAUUUUCGAAAACGUGCGUCUGAUGAGGUGGACGGGGCUUUCCCUCAAGUUUUGAGCAAGUUGUACCAUCUUCAAGUAUUAGAUGUGGGGUCAUACACUGAUCCUAAUAUACCUGAUGGUAUUAAUAAUCUUGUUAGCCUACGGAAUCUUGUUGUACACAAGGGGUUGUACUCUUCCAUUGCUACCAUUGGUAACAUGACAUCUCUUGAGGAGCUACAUGGUCUUAAGUUUCAAAUUACUAGCAACUUUGAGAUAACACAGCCACAAUCCAUGAGCGAGCUUGUACAAGAUUGGGUACAUCAACUAGAUAAUGUUAAAACUCUGAAGGAGGUUUAUGAGGCAGCCCAGAAAAAAAACGAACUCUUAGAAAAACUGCAUUUAUCCUGGAAGGAAUCUCCUGAGGAAACAUGCGUGGAGCUCUUGCAAAUGGAUGUAAGUGGCCUAAGUUCUGAGCUGUCUAUGGACACAGAAAGAGAGGUGCUUGAGGGUCUUCAGCCAGAUCGGCACUUAGAGAUUCUCCAAAUAUCUGGGUACAGUAAUGCUACCUCACCCACUGGGCUUGCCAGCAAUAUCUCAUUUACCUCCUUGCUGACGCUUCAGCUAUACAAUUGUGGAGAGUGGAAAACACUUCCAUCUCUAAGAAGGUUUACGUUUCUGACAAAGCUAAAGUUGAGCAACCUGCAGAAAGUAAAAGAUGUAUUGGUUCCUUCACUGGAGGAGCUAAUUUUAGUUGAAAUGCCGAAGUUGGAGAAAUUAUCAUGCACUUCUGUGGAAGGUAUGAGCUCUAGCCUAAGAGCACUGCAGAUCGAGGAUUGUCAGGCACUAAAGGAGUUUGAUCUGUUUGAGGACAAUGAUAAUUUCGGAACUGAGCAGAGGUCAUGGUUGUGUGGUCUUAGGAUAUUAAUUCUGAGUGAUUGCCCACAUUUGAAAGUGUUGAAGCCUCUUCCACCCUCACCCGCCUGUUCUGACUUGCGCAUCAGUGGGGUUUCAACACUUCCGUAUAGUAUGAAGGGAUCAUCUAGUGAAAAGUUAUGUAUUGGGAAUUUUGAUAAGGAUAAGACGAUGGCUUGGUUGAAUCUUUUGAUGAGCUGAGAAUACUGGAUGACAAAAUUUUGGCAUUUCAUAAUCUUAGCAACCUCAAAUUCAUGGAUAUAUCUGAUUGCCAAGAUCUAAGGUCUUUUUCGUUUGAAGGUUUUAGUAAUCUCGUCUCUUUAACGAAUUUGGGAAUAUCCAUGUGCAAAGAACUUUUCUCUUCGGAUGUGAUGCCAGAGCAUACCCUUGAAGAUGUGAUAGUUACGAAUUACAGGGCCUUCCCAUCUCUUAAAAGUCUGACUAUUAGCUCAUGUGGAAUAGCGGGGAAGUGGCUAUCUCUGAUGCUGCAACAUGCGCCUUACCUCGAGAAACUGAGUAUAGAUGAUUGUGAACAUAUAACAACAGUACUGUUACCGAUGGAAGCGGGAGAAAAUAGUCUAUCAGACAUUAUCUCAGCCAGGGAGGACUCGUCAUCGGGAAACCAAGAUGAAACAUCGACCUGGUUAGCUCGAGAUGGACUCUUGCACGUUCCAUCAGAUCUCAUCUCCUCUCUCAAGGAGAUAUUUAUUUGGAAUUGCCCUCGUCUAACAUUUAACCAGGGCAGCGAAUGCUUCUCUGGAUUCACCUCCCUUGAGAGGCUAAUGAUUUGGGUUUGCCCUGAGCUUCCCUCGUCAUUGGUGCAUAAAGAGGGAAGUGAUGACGGGGAGAACGGGAGAUGGCUCUUCCCGAUAUCACUUCGGGAAUUUGACAUCAGCGGCUAUUCCCAAGAAACACUGCAACCCUGCUUUCCUAGAGAUAGUACCAGCCUGACAAAGUUAGCGGUAUGGAGCAGCCCAGAUUUGCAAUAUCUACAGCUGCACUCAUGCACCGCACUGGAAGAGUUGUUUAUCAAUGACUGUGAAUCGCUCGCUGCCAUAGAGGGCUUGAACUCCCUUGGCAACCUCAGGCAUUUGACAGUAUACGGCCUCAGGCAGUUGUCUGCAUGUUUGGAAAGCUUUUCAAGGCUGAGCUAUAGACUAUGCUCUCAGCUGGAAACACUCAAGAUCGAUGACCCAUCUGUCCUUACCACGUCAUUCAGCAAGCACCUCACCACCCUGCAACGCCUACAACUUACACGUUUGAAGAAAGUGAGGAGACUGACCAAUGAGCAAGAGAGAGCCCUUGUGCUCCUCAAGUCCCUGCAAGAGCUCGGUUUUUCUUAUUGUUUUGAUCUAGUAGUUCUUCCUGCGGGGCUGCACAACCUUCCUUCCCUCAAGAAGUUGAAGAUGGACGCUUGUCCGCGAGUCUCAAGGCUGCCGGAAACAGGCCUCCCACUUUUGCUGGAAGAACUAGACAUCAAGUUUUGCAGCAAGAAGCUGGCUGAUCAAUGCAGGCUGCUAGAAACAAGCAAGCUAAAAGUCAAAAUUAGUCUAUGCUCUUGAAUUGGUUACUGGACGCCAUAUUAAGCACAUGUUUCUUCUACACAUACAACAACAAAUAUUGCUGGCUUGCUUUUAAAUAGAAGUGUUAUCAUCUAUGUUUUUAAGGCGACGCCUUACCGCCUUAGGGAGGGGGGGCGCUUUGGCGCCUAGGCGACGCCUAGGCGGGCGCUUUGGACGCCUAGGCGCCCAAAGCGGUCGAUUUUCCAAAGCGGAGGGGGAGCGCUUCGACGCCUAGGCGUCGCCUUAGGGACGCCUUUAAAACAUAGGUUAUCAUUCCGGAACGAAUACAUCAAGUGACAGGUAAACUGGCAUGUUUUGUUGUUUGUUAUUCAUCUCAUCAUGUCAACUAAAGAUAGUUAAUGUUCUUCCUUUUUUGUGGUGUGAUUAAUUUUCAUUUCCUCAACUGCAGAGUGCAGAGAUAACUACUGGAGAUAAAUCAGAAGGCGUCUUAUGUUAUUUAUUACACAAGUUGGUUACUUGGUUUAACGCAGGCAUUCCUUGCUACACCAUGCACAUAUGCUCUGCAGCUACAGUAAUGCAUAUCGGAUAUCGGAAUACUAGCAACAAGAUGAGACAGAUAUGCUGGGUUUAAUUAAAUUCAUGUCUUGUUCUAAUGAUCAGUCAGAAGUCAAAUGGCUCGGCAGACAACUAUUAUGUUCAUAAAAUUAUUAUUUCAGGUGGGGAAGCACUCCCCCUGGUGACGUUUCAAAAGAAAAAAAAUAUUUAAUUUGAAUAUGUAAGCCUGUCGUCGGCGAUUACUAGUUUCCUUUGUGGUGAUAAUGAGUGAUGCAGACAUGACGGCAUGUGUAUGUGCUAUGCUAUCCUGGUGCGUUCUAACAAGCUCAAUUUUUUCACAUAUUUUUGCCUUUGUGGUGCUUCAACUAUCAAACUGUUCUUGUAUCGUCACACAAUUUGCUCCAGAUCUUUAGUCGUUCUCUCAGUGGUUCUUUGCUUUGCAGACUUGCGGUUGUCAUUUUCUUUAAUCUUAACCUGAUAUUUUGCUAGAGCCAUGGUCGGGAAUGUGCGACACAAAUAAAAUUUCAUAAAAAAGAAGUAAAGGCCAGGAUUAGUUACCCGAGUGCAUGAUUAGAUCAGAGAAGAACAAGCAUCAACUCAUUGUUUCAAUUCGUGGAGAAGAAACUUAUCACGUCAUCUCACACCAGCACUGAAACUGCAUCAAUCAUUUCGGCCAUUAAGCAAUUGCUCAACAUUAGCAAGGAAAAAAUGUGUUAACAGUGACAAACAUAAGCAACCUAAUUUCCCAGAAAUUGCAACAGCUAGCCUGCACCUUUUUUCCAAAAGAAGCUCACCUGCACCAGGUACUGACAUUCGCGCAGUUAUAAUCAAGAAAUGCCUAUAGCAACAGGAAAUUAUAAAGUUACAGGAUAAUAAAUAUGCCAGUUUAAGCUUGACAUAUCUGAUAAUAAUAUAGUUAGACAACUGUUGAAACCAAAGGUGGGUAUAAUCUUAGAAAGUCGAGCAGCACUACAAGGAUGGAAAUUCGCAUUCAACUCAUGUUUGCAUGGCUACUGAAAUUUAUAUCAUACAUAUGCCAUUCUCAUGUCCAUAUACAUCACAAGACAAAGAGGAUAGCCAUGAUUUCAAUAUUUUCUUACUCCCAUGCCAUAGUUGCGUCGCCCAUAAGCAUAUAUAAAACCAGUACACAAUAGAUGUGCUAGAGAAAACACAUCAAUACAAAAGCCACCUUCAGAUCAGAAGGCCGGAUGAACUAGACCAUGCCUCAUUAGCCUCCACUUUUCACUUAUAUAGACAUAGUUGAGCUGAGCUAUCAGAUUACCCACAAAGCCAGCCAUCCACUAGGAACCAAGUUAACUAAAUCCAAGCCGACAUGAACAUCCUGGAAAUAAGUAAUCACAUCAUCCACCUACUCAAAUCCACUGUUAAAGCAACCUCCUCUACACCAGAGAACGAGCAUUGCUAGCUUCUGAGGUGCUGCCCCCUGGGCUCCCUGACUCUGAUCCUGUAAACAGAGUCAAAUGCAAUACAUUGUAGGAAGUUUAAUUCAUUUUUUUUUUGGAAAAGGGGAUGUACCCCAGCCUCUGCAUCAGAAAGAUGCAAGGAAGUUUAAUUCAUGAAGAUUAAAAACGAUGUUUCUCAAAAAGGGAAAGAAUAAACAUUUGGUUCAGCAGUACCACUGGAUGAUGAAGAACCACCACCCGAACCACCAGAGACAAUCAUGGCCUCAGCACCCUUUUCGAUCUCCACUGAUUGGUAAGUUGCGGUUGGCAUCUCAUCAUCAAUAUUUACACACUCAUCCACCUGCUCAGACACUACAGUGUUCUCAGGAUUCUCGCUCUCCUGUAAAUAACAAAACAAGCAACACCCGUGAGAGUCCAAUUUGCAUACCCACUAACUGCAAACAAGAACAGCACAUGUUGUUUCCUCUAUGGCCAUUACCACAUCAGCAUUGUCAACCAAUGUAGGCACAGCACCAUUCACAGCUUCAGCUCCAACAGCAUCGUUGACCUCAGCAAUGUCCACAUUCAUCAUCACGGCUCGUCGGCUCCUUUGAGCGCCUUGUUGAACAUUUCGACCAUGUAAGUAGCAAUCCCUGCAAAGAAAAGAAGAACAUUCGCAAUGGGCAAAUUUGCCGCACUGGCAAACACAAGCUGUAACUCAGAAAUAUUUGAAUGUAAAAUUAACUCAGAAAUUCGCACCAGCACACCAAACACGUUUUACUGGCACUUCAAUUAAAUGUUGGGAAAAGCUUACAGCAACAGGAAGUUCUCUUACCCAGUAAUAACAAGCCAGUUAAAAAUAAUACAUACUCUAACUGAAAUCAAGGGUAUAAUUUCAGAAGAGGCAAGAAGCGUCACCAGGACAAAAGAGUCCCAAUCAACUCAGGUUUGCUGGUACUGAAAUUUUUAUCGCUCAUAUACCUUUGAGAAAGAUUAAACCAUUCUCAUAUCAAUAUAAGUCACCAGACAAAGAUGGAAACCAUGAUUUCAACAUUUUCUUACUCUGAUGCGAUAGUUAUGUCGCCCAUAAUAAGCAUUAGUACACAACAGAUGUGCUAGAGAAAACACAUCAAUACAAAAGCCACCUUCAGAUAGAAGGCCAGAUGAACUACAACAUGACUAGGUACCCUCCACUUUUCACUUCUAUAGACAUAGUCGAGCUGAGCUAUCAGAUUACCCACAAAGCCAGCCAUUCACUAGGAACUAAGUUAACUAAAUCCAAGCAGACAUGAACAUCCCAGAAAUAAGUACUCACAUCCUCCACCUACUCAAAUCCUACUGUUAGAACAACCUCCUCUA